rnacentral:lncRNA from 1 species
GUAGAGGCCCCGAGGGAGAGUUGGGCGAGGGAAGGAAGAGAAAAUCUUCAGCGAGGGUAGUCGAAAAGAAGAGCCCUGCGGUAGAAAGCCACUCUAGGAGUAGGAUGUAUUGGACCUUUGACCGCCAAGAGCUCUUUUACUCAGGGGAGAAAAACUCGAGGAGGGCCUAUCCCCUCCAAAGCGCCGCUUUUUCCUUGGACAGGAAGAAGUGACCUAUUGCAGUGUCUCCAUUGCUGUUAUAGAAGUUGCCAAUUAAAAUAUGGAGCAGGUGGAGGGAAAGAAGAGGAAUAAGAACAGCAAACAAGAAAUUACCAAGUAUUCAGCAAAGCAAAGAGGGGCCUCCUAUUAGGUUUCAGUGAAGCCACUGAGCUGAUCUUUUACAAUCUUCACGGACUGUUUUCAGAGAGGAGAUGAGUGAGCCAACUGAAGUGGAAAAAUUGAAAAAUGAAGGUAGAAAAUGAUCUGGAAAACUAUACUCCCCAAGAAGAAAGACUUGG